rnacentral:rRNA from 1 species
UACGUAGGGUGCGAGCGUUAAUCGGAAUUACUGGGCGUAAAGGGUGCGCAGGCGGCGUCGCAAGUCAGGCGUGAAAUCCCCGGGCUCAACCUGGGAACUGCAUUUGUGACUGCACGGCUGGAGUGCGGCAGAGGGGGAUGGAAUUCCGCGUGUAGCAGUGAAAUGCGUAGAGAUGCGGAGGAACACCGAUGGCGAAGGCAGCCCCCUGGGCCAAUACUGACGCUCAGGCACGAAAGCGUGGGGAGCAAACAGG